CAGAAGUGCACAGAAACGCGAAGAAAGUGAGAUCAUUCUUUGUCCGAUCGAUGGACGAAUGCUCGAUUGCGAUAUCAUCUUUUAAUUUUACCGAGCGGACAACGAAUAUACUCUCCGUUGGUCUAAACCCACCACGAAGCGGCGCAAGAACAAGCUCGCUUCGCCUAAACGCACCUUCAUGACGCUCUGUCGUUUCAGGCGUAUUAUCCGGCCAAGUUGGAAAGAACCGAAGAAGAAAUUUCGGAGAAGAAGGAAGGAAAUGACGGCAAAAAAGAGAAAAUGGCGAGAAGUGCGAGAACGAGGAAACGGGAACGCUGAACCGUUAUAUUCCAUCUGCAGAGGCGAACUGCACGGAACAUAGAUCGCACGACGCCUGCAGUCGC
rnacentral:misc_RNA from 1 species